rnacentral:tRNA from 6 species
GCCGAAGUGGCGGAACUGGCAGACGCACAGGACUUAAAAUCCUGCGGUCCUUCAAGAUCGUACCGGUUCGAUUCCGGUCUUCGGCACCA